rnacentral:tRNA from 1 species
UAGACAGAAGCCUGCUGGAUAAGGCAUUUAGCUGUUAACUAGAUUAUUAUGGGAUCAAGGCCCAUCUGUCUAG